rnacentral:lncRNA from 1 species
AACCAAUGACAUGUUUACCCCACUCAGAUCGAGUUCUCUAAGCUGGGUUAGAUUUCGAACAAGCUUGUCAAAAGAAAUUGGUUCUAGACUUGGGUAGUAGUUUCCAGAGAGAUCAAGCGAAACCAAUUUGGAGAGCUGAGAGAUUUCCGAUGGAACUUGACCUGCAAAGCCUGAGAAAUUUAGGUUAAGAUGUGUCAGGUUGGAGAACUGGCCAAAUGGAGAAGAAAUAUGGGAGCUUUGGAAAUCAUUGUCAGAGAGGUCGAGCUUUUGAAGAUGAUGGAGGGAGAAGAGGGUGCUAUUGGAAUGGAGGGUGCCAUAAAGCAUGCUGCAAGAGAGGUCCAGUCCAGUGACUUGCCCUGUUUUCAGGUCACAAGUGACCCCAUCCCACAAGCAGCAGUCUGUACCCUCUUUCCACGACUCUGUCUUGGGAUGUUGGCAACGCCCUGAAGCAGAGCUACUAAUGGAAAAGGACUCUUGAAUUGGAGCAAAGAAAGACUUUGGUCAGGAGCACAGAAAUGAGAUGAAGAGGAGUAAUUUGAUGAAGAAAUUGUUGUGUGAAAAUGGAAGAGAAACAGAAUGGAAGAGAGAAAUUGAGAGAGGGACAGUGGUGAAAACUUUGAUUAUUGUUCACAAGUCUUUGUUUCUACCCAUCGAGCAAAUCGGAUGUGUCCAAUUGGAGAGAAACAAUUAUGGAAGGAAAAAUCUUGAAACCAAAUAUAGAAGAUAAAAAACUGAUCCAUUACUCAUAAUAAAAUACGUUCUAGCAAAUUCCUCAAGUGAUUUUAAAUCUAAGAGCAACCUAUUUAAUUAGAAUUCAUUUAUAUUUUUUAGUCGAGAUUCCUAAUAACAUUUUUUUCUUGAACAAGUGAUUUCUCCGCAUGCAGUCCUCAAAUAAUUUCUAGCUUGACAUACAAACAAACAAAUAAAUCAUAUAAAAUUCUCAAACAAUUAUAUAUCACAGUUACUUUUUGACAUUUUUUAUAACAAGUUAUUUAUUUAUUUAUUUUAUAAGUUGAAUAGAUAUGAACUGCAGUUACCUCACAAAGGGUGUAAGCUAGCAAAGGAAAAAAAAAGAAGAAAAAAGAAAGAGGGAAAGUAAAUACUUGAGAUAUAUAAAAUAUAUAUGACUAAAAUGACUAAAAUGAGAACCCUAUGUCAAACUAUCGCUUUAUAUUAUUUUAAAUGACUAAAAUGCCAUUAAAAUAAUUAGCAUGUUACUACGUACUCCAUUUUAAAUGAGUUUAUGAUUUGAAUUGGUAGUCCUAAAAGAUCUUUCUUUUUUCAGCAUCAUCAAGUAAUUAAAACCAACCAAUCUUCAUUUGGUCUGUCCCUUUUACUGACCUUCAAGUCUCCGCAACUAAUAUAUAUUGUCAAACAAGUGGCGCAAAACAUGGGACUAAACAAAAGUGUUGGAAACACGGCAAUAUUAGUUUCCACGAUAAUUUUUUGUAAUAUUGGGCUUUUGUUAUAGGCUUAGAAUCGUAUACAUUAUAAGAAUAUGGAAUGGGUUUUUUUCCUUAAUGAAAUACGAGAGAUUUAUUCAAUCACUGUUAUAGCCAUUAAAAACAUAGCUUAAUAGAUAGAAAGAAGAGUAUAAAAAAACUCAGAAGAGUGAGAAAACUUACUAGCACAACUAUAUCCACAACUAAUUAAGUCAUCUUCUCUAAGAACUCCUUGCUUGACUAAAUGAUCUGCAACUUGAUUCUUUUCUUAUGAACAUGUUCAAAACGCGUUAACAUCACUUCAGCAUAUAUACCUAUGGUAGGAGGUAGUAAAGAAGAACUACUUCUCAUAUUUAUGUUGUUAGUCCACGUGAAAUUCUGACAUAAAUAAAUAAUCAAAUGAUACUUCAGAGAGAAUUUUAUUUCCUUCCACAUAUAAGGUGGAAGAAAUCUACCGAUUACCUGUUGAAAUGAUGAUAGAGCUCAUAACUAAUAAAAAGGGGUAUUUUCAGAACAUGGAACAAAAAUCUCUCCUCUCUUCCUUGAUAAGCAGCCGGCCAGCCUUAUGAGAGAGAAAAAAAAGGAAGCUUUGAAUUUUUCUUCUUUUUUUUUCCACUUAAAUGAAGUGUAGGAGGUGAGAGAUUGGGUUCUUUCCUUGUUUUCUUGGAAAAUCAAGUGUGUGGGAUGGUGUUUAGGAGAGGGAAAGUGAGAAAUAAGUAAUUGAAGUAAGGUAUAAUGAAGGGAAAAGGAGAAUUGAGGAAGAAACUUGCUAGAAAAGUGUCAAAUGAGGUUCAAAACUCUUGGGUAAGAUAUCAUACCUCUCUAAUUUUUAUCGAUUUAUGUAUAGGAAGGGAAAUUAUGAUAUUCUACUCUAUGGUUUCAGAAACUUUGAGAAAUUGGUAACGUAAUUGUAAAUUGUUGAUUUUAUAGCCUGUUUGGGAAUGUGGUUGCGAUUGCUUUUCACUUAGAAAAGUAUCAAAAUAAUAUUUUUUUAUUUUUUAAAAAUCAUUUUUGAUAUAAGUGCAUUAAAAUGAUCUCAAAAAUACCAUCGGUAAUUCCCGCUUUAUUUCGUCGGUAUAUCCCUCAAAAAAUACUAUUGGUAAUUCUGUCGGGAAUUAUUUAAAAACAUGUUCAUUGAAGAUUGUUCAUGCCUAAAUGUAAAACUAAUAGUGUUAUUGAAGUUCUCCAAACAUGGGGGAGUAGAAAUACUCAAGCUAUUGUUGGAUAAGUCAAAGACUUGAAGGAAUUUCAGCUUGCAAAUAGAAAAAGAAAUUUCUUUACUGUUGGAUAUAAAAUGAUUAUUAACAAGCUCUCUUAUUUGAAAAUUGAACUUCGGAUUGGAUCAUUCAAGUGCUUUUGUCCUUUUACUUCUUUUAGGCUCAACUUCAUCAUUUUUUGAUUGAUAAUGACUAUUUGAGUUAGCUUCUAUCAUUCUUUUAAGUGAAUAAUUUUCUUGUAGCUCUUCAAAUGAAAACACAUCUUCAAAGAAUAUAGUGCUCUUUGAUUCUAUAAUAGUAUUAUAAUGUAUGUUUUCAAUACUUAACUUGUGUAUAAAAAACUCAUAUGCACUAUUAUUAUAAGCAUAUCCGAUAAAUACACAAUCCACAAUUCUCUGUUCUAUCUUGAACUUUUUAGGAUCAAGUAUUGCUGCCUUUUCAAGACACCCCCAUAUUUUGAAGUAUUUUUAAGAAGAUCUUUUACCUUUUCGCAAUUCAUGUAGUGUAUUUUCUAGCUUUUUUAUGGGUGUACUUUAUUAAAUAUACAAUUGGCAGCCAGAAUGGCCUCCUUUCACAAGUUUUGAGGUACUUUUGAACUUAUCAACAUGAUAUUCAUCAUUUUUUUAAGUGUUUGAUUUUUAUGUUUUUUAAUGUUAUUUUAUUGAGGUAAAUAAAGAGUAAUAAUUUGGUGGAUUAUCUCAUUUUGGAAACAAAAUUCACCAAAAUGUGUUCCAUACUCUCAUUUUUUAAUGUCUUAUUAAGUUGAUUUUGAACUUAAUUUUUGUAAUUUUUAAAUAUUUCAAGAGUCUCAUCUUUGUUUUUAAGCAAAUAAGUAUAAGAGUACCUUGUGCAAUUCUCUAUAAAGGUGAUAUAAUACUUCUUUCCUCCUUUAGUUUACAUUAUUUUUAAAUCAUUAAUGUCUGAGUGAAUUAAAUCUAGAGGUUCACUAUUUCUUUUAAUUAUUUGAAAAUAAGGUUUUGUGAAUUUUAAUUUUACAAAAAUCUCACACGUAUGAUUUUUCUAAAAAACCAUGGUAGGUAUUAAUUCAAGAUAAACUAAUUUUAUAUAAAAUUAUAAUGCACAUGCCCUAACUUCUCAUGCCAUACAUCAUAAGAGUACUAAACCAAGUAAAAAGAAGAUGCAUUAUUAAUAUUAUUCAUCUCAACCUUGGUUACAUUAAUGAUCAUUAAAUUUAUUUUGAAAAGGCCAUCACUAAGACACCCCUUUUCUACAAUACAUUUCAUUUUUUAAGAGUUAUAUAUAUAAUAAUCAAGAUUUUAUAUAAAAAUUAGUGCCAAAAAGACUUGGCUAAUUAACUAGAAAAAAAAAGAGUUAUGUUUGUUUACAAUGACAGAGAAAGAGAAAAUAAAGAAAUGAAAGCUCUGCAGCAAACUGAAAUAACUGACUCUUAAAAAUCUAGUUGUCCAUUGUAUGAUGUCUUUUUAGGACCUUAAAAUCAAGGAGGUUAUGUUCUGGUUAAAAAAAAAAAAGAAGAACCUUAAAAUCAAGCUGGAUUUUCUAUUCAACAUUAACUGCUGCAUGCAUUGCUUCUUUUUUAUAGAUGUAACACCCAAACCUUGCAUCAAAACUAACCAUAAAAAUAAAAUAAAAAACACACAUAUUAAGUGACUCGAAAAUAUUCCAUGUAUCGAAUAAAACUAAUGAAAAUAAAAUAAAAUAAAAUAAAACACAACCAUGAAGGAAAACAGAAGAAGUACGAAAGAGGAAUCCGGUUCUCUGAAUCUGCCACUCUAGCGUUCUUCUCAUGUCAACUCCGCUUGGUAUCUCAUAAGGUAGCGAGGAUGUUUAUUCGAAACUUCACUGCAAUUUAGAAACAUACAAAUAAUUUUUUUAUUUAAUGAAACAGAAGAAAAGACUAAUCAAAGGAAAUAGCACAGAAAAAAUAGCAUAAACUCUUGCACAUAAAACUUUAAGAUGUCAAAUGCUUGUAGAACUUACUUCAUGUUACUAGCUGCGUUGUUUAGUUUCUUCUUGCACCAUUUCUACGAGCAUUCUUCUUCGUUCUUCUUGCCUUCAGAUUCCAUUGAUCUUCAACCACUUUCAGAAACCAUGCUGGUUUUCUUGUCCUAAACACAACGUAUCCCAUUGUGACUCCAAACACAAACCCACAUCCAUACCCUAUUGCCACAGCUUUCCAUCCAAAUCCUUCUCCAAAGAAUUUUGAAUCAUCUCCAUCGUGAAAGUUUGACGGCUGCGAUGGUGGUGCCUCGUCACUAUUGCAUUCUUUUGGCAUUGGAAAUCCACAUAAACCCAAGUUUCCUUCAAAUGAGCUUGCAUUAAACGUGUUGAACUGCUUUCCAAUGGGCAUGGGCCCCUCAAGAUGGUUAUGUGAAAGGUUUAAGACUCCAAGAAAUGUUAGAUCUGCCAACUGUACUGGAAUCCUUCCAGUAAGCAAAUUCGAAGACAGAUCUAAUGAUUCCAGAUAGGUCAACAUUCCUAAUGAUGAUUGAAUAUGGCCUGUAAGGGAAUUAUGAGAGAGGUUGAGUUGUUGAAGUGCUUUAAGCUUUCCGAUCACCUUUGAAAUCUCUCCGAUGAAAUUGUUGUUUGAAAAAUCGAGUAUUCUAAGAGCGCUUUGGAUUCUCGCGAACUCAAUAUCAAACCCUUUCCAUGUCACUUUUAUGGAAUAGGCAUAGUCAGAGUAAUUUCUUGCCAUCAUGUAAAAUGAAUUUUGAUCAGAGAUCAUCAUUGCUUCAAGACUAUUGAAAUACCCUGUUGGCAAUGAUCCACUCAAAUUAUUGCUGGAGAUAUCGAAAAUCCGUAAUUUGGAGAAGGAAUUAUUAGCAAUCGGACCAUUCACAAAACCCUGGAGCUUAUUGGACUUUAGGACAAGAACAUGCAGCUCUGGAAGCAUUUCAAGGAAAUAGGGGAAUGUAUCCUCAAUCUUAUUGUUGCCAAGAUCAAGAAUUUCCAGCAUUGUACAGUUGAUGAUAGACAAUGGUAUUUUCCCUUCCAAUUCAUUGCCAUUUAGGUUGAGAUAUCCCAAGUUAUUCCCUUUUGAAAAUGGUGAAAAGAUAGUGCCUUGAAGAUUAUUCAUGCCAAGAUUCAAAAUUAAGAGAGAGUUGCUAAAGUUCCCUAAACAUUGUGGUAUAAAACCACUCAAAUUGUUGUUGGACAAAUCAAGGAGUCGAAGGAAUUUAAGCUUGCAAAUAGAAGAAGAAAUUUCACCUGUUAAUUUAUUGUUGGAUGCAAGAGCAAGGGCUUCCAGGUUCUCUUGUUUGAAAAUUGAACUUGGGAUUGGACCGUGCAAGUGGUUGUUUCCCAAAUUAAACAAUUUCAAUGAACGAGUACUUAUUUGAGAAGGGAUAGGUCCUACAAGUUGAUUGCUAGAUAAACCUAAAUUUUCAAGGAGGGUCAGGUUACCUAAAAAAUCUGGAAUCCUACCUGAAAAAUUACAGUUAUCGAGAUAUAAGGACUGAAGGUGCACAAGGUUUCUAAGUGAUGGUGGAAUCUGACCGCUGAAAUGGUUACCUGCGAGGUCUAAACGAGUGAGCUGUGUGAGAUGACCAAUCAGGGUUAAAUUUGACUUUAUGAUAUUACAUUCUCUGAGAACCAGAACUUCCAACAACUUUAGAUUUAUGAAGAAGUCAUUUUCUAAAGAAACUGAAAUUCUCGUAUGAGUAAGACCCAAUAACCGGAGGACAUUACUCACAUUGGAUGAAGGAAAAGAGCCAGUGAGUUCGUCGUUGUAUGUCAAAUCAAGUGAUUUAAGGUUUGGUAGGAGAAAGAUGUUACCUGGGAACUUCCCUUUCAAUCCACAACCCCAAAGGGCAAGAACUGACAAGGAUGAGGACAGAUUCGCCAAGGAAUUAGGUAUGACCAAAGGCAUAUUUACAUAACCCAAAUGGAGUCCUCUUAGCUUGGUUAGGUUUUGAAUAAUCUUGUCAAAAGAAUUUGGUUCUACACUCAAAUAGUCAUUGUAAGAGAGAUCAAUUGAAACCAACUCAGUGAGUUGCCCAAGAUCAUAUGGAAUUGAACCUGUAAAAUUGUUGUAUCUAAGAUCCAAUUGCUGGAGGUGCUUAAAUUGUCUCAUUGAGGAUGGAAAUUUUCCUUGCAAUCCACAGGAGUAGAGUGCGAGUGAUGACAAAGAAGAAGACACAUUCAUCAAGGAAUUGGGUACAACCAAUGACAUGUUCACCCAACUCAGAUAGAGUUCUCUAAGCUGGGUUAGAUUUUGAACAAGCUUGUCAAAAGAAAUUGGUUCUAGACUUAGAUAGUCGUUUUCGUUUCCAGAGAGAGCAAGUGAAACCAACUCAGUGAGUUGCUCAAGAUCAUAUGGAAUUGGACCUGUAAGAUUGUUAUCUGCAAGAUCCAACUGCUGGAGGUGCUUAAACUUUCUCAUUGAGGAUGGGAAUUUUCCUUGCAAUCCACAGGAACGGAGUUUGAGUGACGACAAAGAAGAAGACAGAUUCAUCAAGGAAUUGGGUGCAACCAAUGACAUGUCUACUGAACUCAGAUCGAGUUCUCUAAGCUGGGUUAGAUUUCGAACAAGCUUGUCAAAAGAAAUUGGUUCUAGACCUGCAAAGACUGAGUAAUUUAGGUUAAGAUGUGUCAGGUUGGAGAACUGGCCAAAUCGAGAAGAAAUAUGGGAGCUAUUGAAAUGAUUGUCAGAGAGGUCGAGCUUUUGAAGAUGAUGCAGGGAGAAGAGGGUGCUAUUGGGAUGGAGGGUGCCAUAAAGCAUGCUGCAAGAGAGGUCCAGUGCAGUGACAUGCCCGGUUUUCAGGUCACAAGUGACCCCAUCCCACAAGCAGCAGUCUGUACCCUCUUUCCACGACUCUGUCUUGGGAUGCUGGCAAUCCUCCGAAGAAGCAGAGCUAUUAAUGGAAAAGGACUCUUUG